GUACCCGUAGGAAGAGAAAACAAGUGUGAUUCCGUGAGUAGUGGCGAGCGAAAGCGGAGGAGGCUAAACCGUGUGUGUGUUCAAGCCGGCAGGUGUUGCAUGUGCGGGGUUGUGGGGGCCUUGUGGUUCUGCUGCCGCAGGAUUGGCCAGUGAGAAAUGUUGCGUGAAGGUGAAGCGUCUGGGAAGGCGUACCGGAGUGGGUGAGAGUCCUGUAACUGUAAGCGUGGCACUGGUGUGGGGUUGCCCCGAGUAGCGUGGGACUCGUGGAAUUUCGCGUGAAUCUGGCGGGACCACCCGUCAAGCCUAAAUACUCCUUGGUGACCGAUAGUGGAUGAGUACCGUGAGGGAAGGGUGAAAAGUACCCCGGGAGGGGAGUGAAAGAGUUCCUGAAACCGGUCGCAUGCAAGCCGUCAGAGCCUGUGUGGUGAUGGCGUGCCUUUUGAAGAAUGAGCCUGCGAGUUAGUGAUGCGUGGCGAGGUUAACCCGUGGUGGGGGAGUCGUAGCGAAAGCGAGUCCGAUAAGGGCGUGAGUCGCGUGUUCUAGACCCGAAGCGGUGUGAUCUAUCCAUGGCCAGGAUGAAGCGUCGGUAAGACGUCGUGGAGGUCCGAACCCACUUCAGUUGAAAAUGGAGGGGAUGAGUUGUGGAUAGGGGUGAAAGGCCAAUCAAACACCGUGAUAGCUGGUUCUCCCCGAAAUGCAUUUAGGUGCAGCGUUGCGUGGUUCUUGUUGGAGGUAGAGCACUGGAUGGUCUAGGGGGCUUAUCGGCUUACCGAAAUCAGCCAAACUCCGAAUGCUGGCAAGUGUAGCGUGGCAGUGAGACGGCGGGGGAUAAGCUUCGUCGUCGAGAGGGAAACAGCCCAGAUCAUCAGCUAAGGCCCCUAAGUGGUGACUCAGUGGGAAAGGAUGUGGAGUUGCGUAGACAACCAGGAGGUUGGCUUGGAAGCAGCCAUCCUUGAAAGAGUGCGUAAUAGCUCACUGGUCAAGUGAUUCCGCGCCGAUAAUGUAGCGGGGCUUAAGUUAUCCGCCGAAGCUGUGGCAACCUGUGUGGUUGGGUAGGGGAGCGUCGUGUCAGUGGUGAAGCUGCCGGGUGACUGUGUGGUGGAGUUGAUGCGAGUGAGAAUGCAGGCAUGAGUAGCGUGUGACGGGUGGGAAUCCCGUCCGCCGAUUAUCCAAGGGUUCCAGGGUCAAGUUUGUCUGCCCUGGGUGAGUCGG
rnacentral:rRNA from 1 species